UACGUAGGGGGCAAGCGUUGUCCGGAUUUAUUGGGCGUAAAGCGCACGCAGGCGGUCUGCCAAGUUCGGAGUGACAGUUUCCGGCUUAACCGGAAAAGGUCUUCGAAAACUGGUGGACUUGAGGACUUGAGGGGAGACGGAAUUCCGGGUGGAGCGGUGAAUGCGUAGAGAUCCGGAGGAACACCGAAGGCGAAGGCAGUCUCCUGGCAAGUUACUGACGCUCAGGUGACGA
rnacentral:rRNA from 1 species